GUAGUCCGGCCGCCCUGUGACUAACGGCUGGAACCGCCUAAGACACCACCCCAGCCAGCAUGGCCGGCAGGAGCGCACCGCGCUGUCUCCCUCCAGGGAUCCGCACCGCCCUACAAUCCUGCUUUGUGCUGAGAUUGUAGUCCUGCAGGCGUACAACUAACAAGCUGGGUGCAGAUAAGAGACUACAGCUCCCCGCAUCCCAAGCAAAGGUCCCUCCUCUACGGAGCCCCUCCACGCGUCCACUGCGGUUCCGCCGUGCCAAGGGGAGCUUGGCUGUUCACGGGCCUCACCUGCUAGCGAGAAGAUAGCUUGGCCGGGCGGCUGAUCUCACCUUGUAAUUCUGACACUGUGUCUCCCGGGCUUGUCGGCUUCAUGACUUGUGCCCAAAGUUUGAUUUCUCGCAGACCAGGGAGGACCCAUUGGACCCCCGGGCUGGCUGCAGGGCCCACACCUGGGUUAGACCUCGCACAGGGACGCUGCUGCCACUGUAAUAAAGCGUGCCUACACGCUUCUGAAACUGGUGUAGGAACAACCUCAGUUCUGUGAAAGGCGGACGCAGCAGGACAGAAUCUCCGUGGACAUCUGUCUGGAGGAGCAAUUUUACUGCGACAUUUUAAAGAAACAAAUUUAAUUGAUUUCCAAGGUUAUUUGAGACAGAGUCUCGCUCUGUCACCAGGCUGUACAGUGCCGUGGCCUGUCUCGGCUCACUGCAACCUCCACCUCCUGGGUUCAAGCGAUUCUUAUGCCUCAGCCUCCCAAGUAUCUGGGACUACAGGCAUGCGCCACCACGCCCAGCUGAUUUUUGUAUUUUUAGUAGAGACGGGGUUUCACCAUGUUGACCAGGAUGGUCUCAAUCUCUUGACCUCGUUAUCCGGCUGCCUCCUCCUCCCAAAGUGCUGGGAUUACAGGCGUGAGCCACCAUGCCUGGCCACAUCUACUUUUUUAAAUGUGUCAUUAUAUUUGUGAUAUUGUCAUGAUGUUUUCUACUUAUAUUUUAUUCAAAAAUUUUAUACUUUAAGUUCUUACCUUUAGGUCUUUGAUGCAUUUUUAUUUGUUUAUGGUGUAGGGUAAAUGUUCAACUUCAUCCUUUUGCUUGUGGAUAUCCAUUUUUUCCCAGCACCAAUUGUUAUAAAGACAGUCCUUUGCCCAUUGAACGGUCUUUGUAUCCCCAUCAAAAAUUAUUUGACCAUAUGCUGCUUUAUACUGUUCCAGUGUCCAUAUGUGUGUCUCUUUGCCAGUACCACACUAUUUUGGAACUUUGUAUUAAGCUUUGGAAUGAAUAAGUGUACAUUUUGUAACACUGGACUUCUUUUUCAAGAUAAUUUUGACUCAUUGGGGUCCCUUGAGAUUCCAUAUGAAAUUUAGGUAGGAUUUUUCUAUUUCUGCAAAAUAGAAUUUUUUGCUUUUUUUGUUACUCCCGACGUAUUUUAUUCUUUUCAGUGCUAUUGUAAAUGUGCUUGUUUGCUUAGUUUUGUUUUCUAAUUAUUCAUCAUUACUGUAUAGAAACACAAGUGAUAUUUGCAUGUUAAUUUUGUAUGCUGCUACUAUGCUGAAUUUAUUAGUUGUAAUACUUUUUGUGUGGAUCUGUGAAAUCUCUAGAGCUUUCCACAUAAAAUUAUAUUAUCUGUAGGCUAGAGUAAUUUUACCUCUACAUUUCCAAUUUGGAUAGUUUGUUUCUUUUUAAUUCUUAAUUUGACUAGAACUUCCAACACUAUGUGGAAUAGAAAUAGCAAAAGCAGACACCUUUGCCUUGUUCCUGAGCUUAGAGCAGAAGCUUUUUGUCUUUCACCCUGGAGUACAUUGUUUGAUGUGGUUUUUUAAUGUGUGGAUUUCACAAUGGUAGUAUUUUAGUUUUAAAAUUCCUACUUUUUUGAGUGUUUUCACCCUGAAAAGAUUUUGAAUUUCAUAAAAUACUUUUCUCUGCAUCCAUGAGGUGAUCAAUGUUUCUUUUAUUUUGUUAAUGUGUACACAUUGAUCAAUUUUUAUAUGUUAAAAAAUUCAUGUUUUAAGAUAUCCUUGCAUUCUAAGAAUAAAUUGCACUUGGUCGUGGUGAG
rnacentral:lncRNA from 1 species